rnacentral:rRNA from 1 species
GGAACCUGCGGAAGGAUCAUUGC